rnacentral:lncRNA from 1 species
CUAAACAUGAUUUACAACCCAACCUUAUACAUAAUUCUUACAAAAAAUACAUCAUUAAUAUUAAGUCACUAUUUUUAAAACCACAUUGUGACGCUCAAUGUCACAACCCAUUAAACUCCUCACGUUUUGGGCAUGUUUCGGACUAUUCGGGCGCGUUUUCGAGCUUGGCGGGGCUUCGAUAAAUGCCCCGCAUUGCUGCCAACGUUCCAGCACCUUCUAGAUGGUCAAAAUAGGAUGGAAGCACAUUUAUUAGACUGUAGGAAGUUCACACGGGCUGGUAUGAAAGUGCAGAUUUUCCAGCUUUAAAAGGUCCACAAAGGUUGGCAUGCAUGUGCAGAAAUUUCAGCAUGCAUGUGCAGGAUUUUCGGAUUUUC